rnacentral:rRNA from 1 species
AGAUUGAACGCUGGCGGCAUGCCUAACACAUGCAAGUCGAGCGGCAGCGCGGGGGCAACCCUGGCGGCGAGCGGCGGACGGGUGAGUAAUGCAUCGGAACGUAUCCUUGAGUGGGGGAUAACGCAGCGAAAGUUGUGCUAAUACCGCAUAAGCUCUGAGGAGGAAAGCGGGGGACCGAAAGGCCUCGCGCUGAAGGAGCGGCCGAUGUCCGAUUAGCUGGUUGGUGGGGUAACGGCCCACCAAGGCGACGAUCGGUAGCUGGUCUGAGAGGAUGAUCAGCCACACUGGGACUGAGACACGGCCCAGACUCCUACGGGAGGCAGC